rnacentral:rRNA from 1 species
GAUGAACGCUGGCGGCGUGCUUAACACAUGCAAGUCGAACGAUGAAGCCCAGCUUGCUGGGUGGAUUAGUGGCGAACGGGUGAGUAACACGUGAGUAACCUGCCCUUGACUCUAGGAUAAGCCCGGGAAACUGGGUCUAAUACUGGAUAGGAACGUCUACCGCAUGGUGGGUGUUGGAAAGAAUUUCGGUCAUGGAUGGACUCGCGGCCUAUCAGCUUGUUGGUGAGGUAAUGGCUCACCAAGGCGACGACGGGUAGCCGGCCUGAGAGGGUGACCGGCCACACUGGGACUGAGACACGGCCCAGACUCCUACGGGAGGCAGCAGUGGGGAAUAUUGCACAAUGGGCGAAAGCCUGAUGCAGCGACGCCGCGUGAGGGAUGACGGCCUUCGGGUUGUAAACCUCUUUCAGUAGGGAAGAAGCGAAAGUGACGGUACCUGCAGAAGAAGCACCGGCUAACUACGUG